rnacentral:rRNA from 1 species
GACGAACGCUGGCGGCGUGCUUAACACAUGCAAGUCGAACGGAAAGGCCCUGCUUUUGUGGGGUGCUCGAGUGGCGAACGGGUGAGUAACACGUGAGUAACCUGCCCUUGACUUUGGGAUAACUUCAGGAAACUGGGGCUAAUACCGGAUAGGAGCUCCUGCUGCAUGGUGGGGGUUGGAAAGUUUCGGCGGUUGGGGAUGGACUCGCGGCUUAUCAGCUUGUUGGUGGGGUAGUGGCUUACCAAGGCUUUGACGGGUAGCCGGCCUGAGAGGGUGACCGGCCACAUUGGGACUGAGAUACGGCCCAGACUCCUACGGGAGGCAGCAGUGGGGAAUAUUGCACAAUGGGCGGAAGCCUGAUGCAGCAACGCCGCGUGCGGGAUGACGGCCUUCGGGUUGUAAACCGCUUUCGCCUGUGACGAAGCGUGAGUGACGGAAAUGGUAAAGAAGCACCGGCUAACUACGUG